AUGUGCCUUUUACAAACCUGCAGCUGCAAAGUUUUGUGUGGGAAGCUCAGUCGAGAGCAGGCAAAUGACGACGUAAGGAAGAAGAUGGAUGUGUUUGCAGAAUUAGGAGCUAAGAGCAUCUCCAGCAGGGACCCUGGCCCGCCUCCGCCCCUCAGUACUGAUCCUCCCGCCCCCGAGAGCUUGUCAGAGGGCCCUCCAACCGCGCCACUACUCGUCGUGCUGCCGAGCUCACUCAGCCAUGCCGACCUUGGCUUCGACGAGGUCCUCGGAGAUGCCAUCGCCUCGAUGUCUGGCUGCCGAGGCUUCACCCACCUCCCUGCUAGCAGACGAGGAGCCCAAAAGUCUUCUUGGGAAGAACUAAGUUUUAUGAGAUGCCAAGCCUGGGCACAGGGCCAUUGA
rnacentral:rRNA from 1 species